CAGUAGAAUGAGGAAGAAACGACGGCAAAAGGCGAUAGGUAAAUUCGUGAAGCCCCCACCGGAGGAUGAGGGGGAGAAUUCCACUAUGUCGGAUGUCCGGAGAUUGUUAUAGGAGGGAGAAUGGAUUUGUAUAACCUUGGGAAGUAAAAGAAGAGUUAGAGUGUAAGUUUGAUAAUUCAUUCUUUCAAUUGUUGUUUGAUUUGGGAACAUUUUAACACUUAAAUGUUUUGCAUAGAAAUAUCUUCUACUGGUGUAUUUGACAGGUGAGAAUUUGUAAUUAGAUAACUGGAGUGUUUGUCUUGAUAGCUCGUCUCUGGAGUAUCAAAAGAAAUUGUUUCGUCUCUGAAAACCGCUCUCGUGGGUGGAUGACAGCUCAGCAUUCACAAAAAUUCAGUUAGCCUCCAGUAGUCAGUCUGUUCUAACUAAAAUCAAAAGCAAAAAUCUCCAGUUCUCUCCCUAUUUCCUCUCACACUCACAGACGGUCAUUCUUUCCCCGCUGGCCAACCAUC
rnacentral:lncRNA from 1 species